rnacentral:rRNA from 1 species
CCUACGGGUGGCAGCAGUGAGGAAUAUUGGUCAAUGGGCGCGAGCCUGAACCAGCCAAGUCGCGUGAGGGAAGACGGUCCUAUGGAUUGUAAACCUCUUUUGUCGGGGAGCAAAAGACGCCACGCGUGGCGUUCCGAGAGUACCCGAAGAAAAAGCAUCGGCUAACUCCGUGCCAGCAGCCGCGGUAAUACGGAGGAUGCGAGCGUUAUCCGGAUUUAUUGGGUUUAAAGGGUGCGCAGGCGGAAGAUCAAGUCAGCGGUAAAAUUGCGAGGCUCAACCUCGUCGAGCCGUUGAAACUGGUUGUCUUGAGUGGGUGAGAAGUAUGCGGAAUGCGUGGUGUAGCGGUGAAAUGCAUAGAUAUCACGCAGAACUCCGAUUGCGAAGGCAGCAUACCGGCGCUCAACUGACGCUCAUGCACGAAAGUGUGGGUAUCGAACAGGAUUAGAUACCCGGGUAGUC